AAAAAUAGGAAUUAUUCCUGUAAAAGCAUAACCUGAGUUACGCCAUUUUGAAAUCAUGUUAAGGUUUUGUUUUACCUUGUAUAACCUGAUUAUAUAAUUUAGCUGACAUUUAAGAACAUGAGAAAGGAAAUGUGUAAUUCCUGUUUUUGAGAAGAUGUUUGUCUUGCAGGAAAUACGUUCCUGGGUUAACUUGCCCUUAUUAAUUAAAGGAAGUACGCAAUUGAUGUUUUUGAGGGGUAUUUCUGUUGGGAAUUGGGGAAUUUCCAGGGUGGAAUUAUGUACUGCAUAUGUUAUAUAAGAUGUUAUGUAAGAUCUGGAACUGAUUCCCAAGGUACUUUAUUGACGUGUAUUCUGAAUGUCCUGAAGACUAUAAAAACUUGUGUAAAUUGUUUUAUUUUCGUCUUUCUCUACUUUAGAGAGAAAGGCCCUUUGCAAAGAAUAAACUUUGUUCCAGGAUUAUUUCGGUCUUUGUCUCUUUAAAACGAUAAUGGGAUUUACCUGUCGACCACAAUUGGCGCCCGAACAGGGACUGAAAACAUUCUGUCUGGAAGGGAUUUCCCUGCGUGCGCACAUAACACUGAUUUCAGUGAGAUGGGGUUAUUUCCUUUCCAGCCGGAAUUGCUUUUCUAUGAACCUUGAGGCAGAGACCUGAAUGCCUGGACAGAGAGGAACGUUCCUGAAGACUUCGGUGCACCAGGAGUAAAAAGGACAGAAUCUACCUCUUGAUUUCCAAGCACAUGAAUACAAAAGUGGAGACUGGGUCCGAUAAAAGCCAUUACUGAGAAGAAGUUGCAGCUGGUGUGGAAGGGACCGUUCCAAGUUUUGCUGACUACUGAAUCGGCUGUAAGGACUAAGGAACAAAUUUGGGUAUGCUAUUCCAGAGUCAAGGGACUGGUGGCUUUGCCUUAUGGAAGGACAGUUGCUACGGAACCUGCAAACCCUCUUAAAUUGACUUUUUGAUGACAAACCUUAGACGAUUGAUGACCAAUGGAUGGAAGAAGAGUUUUAUGAAGAGAUUUGUAUUUGGCUAGGAGUGGUAAUAAUUCUUGUUGUGUUUUUGAUUGUAUUGAGGAAAGAUAUUAUUGAUUGGUGUAAAUCUAUGUUUUGAUAUCCA